rnacentral:rRNA from 1 species
UACGAAGGGGGCUAGCGUUGUUCGGAAUUACUGGGCGUAAAGGGCGCGCAGGCGGUCCUUCAAGUCAGGCGUGAAAGCCCCGGGCUCAACCUGGGAAUAGCGCUUGAGACUGAGGGACUUGAGUUCGGGAGAGGAGAGCGGAAUUCCCAGUGUAGAGGUGAAAUUCGUAGAUAUUGGGAAGAACACCAGUGGCGAAGGCGGCCAACUGGUCCGGUACUGACGCUGAGGUGCGAAAGCGUGGGGAGCAAACAGG